rnacentral:tRNA from 1 species
GAAGUAUUAGUAAAACAAUUACAUAACUUUGUCAAGGUUAAAUUAUAGGUUUAAACCCUAUGUACUUCC